ensembl:miRNA Mir1224 microRNA mir-1224
GUGAGGACUGGGGAGGUGGAGGGUGGCACCUCUGGAGCCAGAGCUGUCUUAGCUCCCCUCUCCCCCCACCUCUUCUCUCCUCAGG